rnacentral:rRNA from 1 species
GAUCAUGGCUCAGGAUGAACGCUAGCGGCAGGCUAACACAUGCAAGUCGAGGGGCAGCGGGAUGUAGCAAUACAUUGCCGGCGACCGGCGGAUGGGUGCGUAACGCGUAUGCAACCUACCUUAUACAGGGGAAUAACCUUUCGAAAGGGAGACUAACACCCCAUAGUAUUGAUUUAAGGCAUCUUAGAUUAAUUAAAUAUUUAUAGGUAUAAGAUGGGCAUGCGUAUGAUUAGCUAGUUGGUAAGGUAACGGCUUACCAAGGCGACGAUCAUUAGGGGUUCUGAGAGGAAGGUCCCCCACACUGGUACUGAGACACGGACCAGACUCCUACGGGAGGCAGCAGUGAGGAAUAUUGGUCAAUGGGCGCAAGCCUGAACCAGCCAUGCCGCGUGCAAGGAAGACGGCCUUAUGGGUUGUAAACUGCUUUUACAUAAGACUAACCGUAUAUUUGCGAAUAUACCUGAAUGUAUUAUGAGAAUAAGGAUCGGCUAACUCCGUGCCAGCAGCUGC